GUGCCAGCCGCCGCGGUAAUACGGAGGGUGCGAGCGUUGUCCGGAAUCACUGGGCGUAAAGGGCGCGUAGGUGGUUCGAUAAGUCGCUGGUGAAAUUCCGGGGCUCAACUCCGGAGCUGCCGGCGAGACUGUCGGACUUGAGCACGGUAGGGGCAGAUGGAAUUCCCGGUGUAGCGGUGGAAUGCGUAGAUAUCGGGAAGAAUACCAGUGGCGAAGGCGUUCUGCUGGGCCGUUGCUGACACUGAGGCGCGACAGCGUGGGGAGCAAACAGGAUUAGAAACCCGCGUAGUCC
rnacentral:rRNA from 1 species